rnacentral:rRNA from 1 species
UGGGGAAUAUUGGACAAUGGGGGAAACCCUGAUCCAGCAAUGCCGCGUGAGUGAAGAAGGCCUUAGGGUUGUAAAGCUCUUUCGCCCGCGAAGAUAAUGACGGUAGCGGGAGAAGAAGCCCCGGCUAACUCCGUGCCAGCAGCCGCGGUAAUACGGAGGGGGCUAGCGUUGUUCGGAAUUACUGGGCGUAAAGCGUACGUAGGCGGAUGCGCAAGUUGGGGGUGAAAUCCCGGGGCUUAACCUCGGAAUUGCCCUCAAAACUGCACGUCUUGAGACCGAGAGAGGUAAGGGGAAUUCCUAGUGUAGAGGUUAAAUUCGUAGAUAUUAGGAAGAACACCAGUGGCGAAGGCGCCUUACUGGCUCGGUACUGACGCUGAGGUACGAAAGCGUGGGGAGCAAACA